rnacentral:rRNA from 1 species
UACGGGAGGCAGCAGUGAGGAAUAUUGGUCAAUGGACGCAAGUCUGAACCAGCCAAGUAGCGUGCAGGAUGACGGCCCUCUGGGUUGUAAACUGCUUUUAGUUGGGAAUAAAAAAGAGGACGUGUCCUCUAUUGUAUGUACCUUCAGAAAAAGGACCGGCUAAUUCCGUGCCAGCAGCCGCGGUAAUACGGAAGGUCCAGGCGUUAUCCGGAUUUAUUGGGUUUAAAGGGAGCGUAGGCGGAUUAUUAAGUCAGUGGUGAAAGACGGUGGCUCAACCAUCGUUAGCCAUUGAAACUGGUAGUCUUGAGUGCAGACAGGGAUGCUGGAACUCGUGGUGUAGCGGUGAAAUGCUUAGAUAUCACGAUGAACUCCGAUCGCGAAGGCAGGUGUCCGGGCUGCAACUGACGCUGAGGCUCGAAAGUGUGGGUAUCAAACAGGAUUAGAUACCCUGGUAGUCCACACAGUAAACGAUGUAUACUCGCGGUUUGCGAUAGAUUGUAAGCCGCCAAGCGAAAGCAUUAAGUAUACCACCUGGGGAGUACGCCGGCAACGGUGAAACUCAAAGGAAUUGACGGGGGCCCGCACAAGCGGAGGAACAUGUGGUUUAAUUCGAUGAUACGCGAGGAACCUUACCCGGGCUUGAAUUGCAGAGGAAGGAUUUGGAGACAAUGACGCCCUUCGGGGCCUCUGUGAAGGUGCUGCAUGGUUGUCGUCAGCUCGUGCCGUGAGGUGUCGGCUUAAGUGCCAUAACGAGCGCAACCCUUUUCCUUGGUUGCCAUCAGGUAAUGCUGGGCACUCCAGGGAUACUGCCAUCGUAAGAUGUGAGGAAGGUGGGGAUGACGUCAAAUCAGCACGGCCCUUACGUCCGGGGCUACACACGUGUUACAAUGGGGGGUACAGAAGGUCGCUACCUGGUGACAGGAUGCCAAUCUCAAAAACCUCUCUCAGUUCGGAUUGGAGUCUGCAACCCGACUCCAUGAAGCUGGAUUCGCUAGUAAUCGCGCAUCAGCCAUGGCGCGGUGAAUACGUUCCCGGGCCUUGUACACACCGCCCGUCAAGCCAUGGAAGCU